GUUUUCAGGUAGAGCAACUGACUUGUAAUCAGUAGGUUGCGGGUUCGAGUCCCAU
rnacentral:tRNA from 1 species